GUAUAGCUCAGUGGUAGAGCAUUCGGCUGCAGAUCGAAGGGUCUCCGUUUCAAACCCGGGUGUCUUCU
rnacentral:tRNA from 1 species